GCCAGGAAGUGAUCGAUUUCGGACACGAAGAAACCAUAUUGAGGAGCUGGUCCACCUGUAGGAAGAAUUGCGCUAUUGGUUGGAGCAGCACUAUUCCCCAGCCAUACACCAGCACUUAGUUUGUCAUAGGGAGCAUUUCUGAGCAGUUAUGGAGACCACUAACUAUGCAGUUGUUGCAGUGAAACUUGCACCAGUGUGUUUUCUGUGGAAAUAAAGAGACAGUGUCCGGCAAUGAAGACCCAACUCAAGAUCUGACCUUGUAAGGCCAAUAUGAAAUAACUGUGUGGAAAAAAUGGGAA